UGCAUGAUUAAAAAUGCUUUGUUAUUUUUGAAACUCCUAGUUUUAACACUGUGAAGAGAACUCAGUGUUCCAGUUUUAAGUUGUUGGCAACAUUUUGACAAAGCUGGAAACAAGAUAAUCCCUGGUGGCAGUUAGAAGUGAAGAUUUGGUUCCAUACUGCAAAUAUAGCAGGGAGAAGAUUAAAGGCACCAGCUCCAUCUGCUGAUACAGGAAAGGACAUCAAAAAUGAGCGAGUGGGUGUGAAAGAGCUUUGUCUCAAGAGGUGCUUGCUGGCUUGUUAGGUUCCAGGACCUCAGAAAAGAAAAUGGGAAAAUGCAGGUGAGAGGCAGGGGUUCUGGGGAAUAUAGGAUGUAAAUGCAUUUCUACAAAUCAAACUGCCAGUCACAUCAGGUGCUGGUCAUGUUCGGUUGGGCUAGACACCCCAGACCAGGGCUUGGUCUGAGGAUGAGCCCUCGGCAGGAGACACAGAGGACUUGGAGACUGGAGAAGGGAGUGAGCCAGUGGCAGAGCUGCGACCUUGACCAGGACUUGUGAAAGGCGGCAGACUCAGGGAUGCCUUUGGUAUUAGCUAGCUCCUAGUCCUGUGAACUAUACCCCUGUGGAGGUCAUUUCAGCUCUCUGAGCCUCAGUUUCCGCUGCAGUAAAACCAGAGUCCUUUCACCUUUACUUUCCUGUUUCUCAUCCUUCAGUUCUCAAUCACCACCACCACUGCUCUGUUACCACUUGUGCUUUUGAUUGCUUAUGUGCCUGUGGUGUGCACAGUGUGGCCGUAGCACUGUGGCCUUUGUUGCGGGCCCACAACAGAUCCCAGAAAGUGUCCACUGCAUCCUCUGUAGCAUCACACCAAGAUGUGCUCCAGUACCACUCACCUGCCAGGAUGGCAGAGAAGUCCAAGGCCCAUGAACCCUGUAUCCUUAUGACCAACAGUCAGCAGUAACUGGCCCCAUGGUUUGCAAGCCAUCUCAUGCCAGCAGCAUCAUUUUGGAGGCAGUGUCCCCUAAGUUCCAAGACCUAACUUGAGUGCCUUAGCAUGUGGGAGGCACAGGAUGAGACUUCGGGGCACAUGGAGGUAGAGAUGCCCAAUAGGGCUGUCAGGAGCAGAACCCUUCAGUAGGGUCAGAGACUCCCUAAGCUACAGUGACUGUCUUGAGAAUAAAGCUAGAGAACACCCCUGAGGGAAGGGAUGCAGGCCAAAGUCAGACAUACUCAGGGCAGGUGAAUGUUACUGUGGGGACAUCUCAUCCCAGAUUCUGGAUCAGACUGGGAAUUUUGGCCCCAGGACAGUCACUGAGCCACCGUGGUCUCUAGUGUUUUCCUGUUUUCAUAAGAGAUAGGCGUGUGGUAGUGGACACAAGAUCAGGUCUGCUCAGCCUCCAUUUGCCCUUCAUGUAAUUUGCAUUAGGACAACUGCCCUUUUCUGUUCAACAUAGUCUGGGGAAGGCUACUGGCAAAGAGCUCUACCAGUGAGUGGGCAUAUACCCAAGACAGUUAGGCCCUCUUCCAAGAUCUGGAACUGUGGGGCAGUUGAAUUGCAAAGACCAGGACCCAGCCUUUCCCAAGAGCAGACACCUGGAGAUGGGAUCCUGCUGCUGAGAUCUUGGUGCUAUCUGAGGCUUGCCCUCCUGCAGGCUCCGGCUUUGCCUUGCCCUUUGUGACCGCCCUCCCUCCACCUACCAUGGCCUCUUCUUCACAAGAAGUGGGUGAAGGUCAGUGCUUAUAGGCCACUUGAGCUCUAAGAACCUUCUAGAGAAUCUGGUGUUCCUGCGUUCCCUGUAACCCCUUCCCCAGAAGUGGUGGUGUCUUUGUUAUACACUGGAGCAUUUUUGAAACAAGGUGAUGAGCAAAUAAACGAG
ensembl:lncRNA